UCGUGUCGUGAGAUGUUGGGGUUAAGUCCCGCAACGAGCGCAACCCUCACCUCUUGUUGCCACCAGGUCAUGCUGGGCACUCUAGAGGAACUGCCCCGGUCAACGGGGAGGAAGGCGGGGAUGACGUCAAGUCAUCAUGCCCCUUACGUCCUGGGCUACACACGUGCUACAAUGGCCGGUACAAAGGGAUGCCACACCGCGAGGUAGAGCUAAACCCAAAAAGCCGGUCUAAGUUCAGAUUGGAGUCUGCAACUCGACUCCAUGAAGGAGGAAUCGCUAGUAAUCGC
rnacentral:rRNA from 1 species